UGAAAAUUCACACUUAAAAACCUGAACUUGUCACGUCUCUUUUACAGCACUGUAACUUCACAAAAUAGUGUCUAGGUCAUACAUUGGGCAUAUUGCUUUACUCAGAAGACUUAGCUGAGCAUAAUUUGGGGGGUUUGAACAUAUGAAAUAUACAAAAUGCCCAGCAAAAAUGUAAUCCGUAUGUAAAAAAUGCCCAAAAUUAUUUUUUACCACAUACUUUGGCAUAUAUUGGUG